rnacentral:rRNA from 1 species
AACUUUCAACAACGGAUCUCUUGGUUCUGGCAUCGAUGAAGAACGCAGCGAAAUGCGAUAAGUAAUGUGAAUUGCAGAAUUGAGUGAAUCAUCGAAUCUUUGAACGCACAUUGCGCCCAUUAGUAUUCUAGUGGGCAUGCCUGGUUCGAGCGUCAUUUC